rfam:Neotoma lepida isolate 417 scaffold_22473, whole genome shotgun sequence.
CCCAAGCUAGCUCAGUUGGUACAGCAUGAGACUCUUAAUCUCAGGGUCAUGGAUUCAUGCCCCAUGUUGGGUG